UAUGCUUGUGAACCAGUUAGAUUCUAUACACAUAUGAAUCUUCCCCAUAUUCGAAUAUCUGAAUGUCAGACUCAAGCUGAUGAUAUAUGAGGUAUGGUCCUCGCUGUAUCAAUCAAGUCCCAUUGAAAUAUUGAAACGUUGUUCAUACAUCUUUGAAUGAACUUUUAUGUGCUGACAAUAUGUUCUGAAAUGAAGAGAUUUUACCCCUGAUGAAGUCUUGGAACAAGACGAAACGCGUUGGGUUAUUUAUCUAUCUAUUAUCUGAUGUUACCUCCGAAUCUACAAUAAGGAGAAGGAGGAAAUCGUAGUGAUAUAUCUACGCUUUUUCCUCAUCACUACAAACUGAUUGUUCAAAUUGUGCGACAAAUGUAAAUGUAUCAACUCUGUAUACUUAUGAACAUUUGUGUCGGGUUUAUAUGUUUUAAUAAAUUUUUAUGUUAGUA